CCGUCUCAAGCCUAGUUCUCAGAGCUUCGUAGUGUCGCCAGCGACAGUUCUCCAGCCAAUCAGAGCAUGUAAACAAAACUUCCCCUGACCCCUUUCUUUUCAUUUCUGGUUGUCGAGAAGUGUCGCGACACGCCCCUUUUGUAGUUGAAAUAUUCCAACUACACCUGGAAUUUCUGCGACAAUCACAAUAAAUAUAACCUAUCUGUCAGCCGCAAAAACAGUUGUUUUUGAUUUUAGCUAUUCUUUUCACUAUUUUUUAAUCAUGGUAUAUUUUCCAUCUAAAUUCAGGUAAAUAUAUGAAACACCAAUGAUAAUUAUCACGGAGAAAGGAAAUAUUCUUUCAUUUCAUAUUUAUUGUUUAUUUCAGAAUGGAGUUUUUCUACAAGUAUACAGCUUUAUAUUCGUGGCGAAAGGCGAAAUAAAAUAAGGAGAAGAAGGUGGAUACACUAGGCCACUGCGGCAGAUAGGUAUUUAACUUCCUAAUGAACCAUGGGAGUUCACUGCUAUGUACUCCAUGAAUAUUCAUUUGACCAAUAGAUAUAUGAAAAUGAAUACAAAAAGUGCCUAUUUCAUUGAAAUUCCCAAAACAAAUCAAAAACUAGCUGAACGUUACUCCCACAAAAUAAACAAGAUUGGAGGUUUUGAUCCAUUUGCCAUUUAAGAAAGAGAUAUACGAGGUUACAGUCCUGAUGGAAUAUUAUAAUAUUGUGGUUUUUCUAGUUUUCACGACCAGUUUUUAAACAAAUCAGCAAAUGAAAGCAUUUAAGCGCUUAUCAGCCUACAAAUGCUCGCAUUAUAUCUGGGUUUUGCUGUUUGAAACAAAAUAUUCUGUGAGAAGUUUUUCACAAAAGGGUCAGUACAGAUGAAUAGGUGUACAUGUAGAGAAGGGAAAAAUGACCAUUUUUAUGAUAAAAUGCUGCUAUGAGGAUUGUGAAAUAUAUUGGAUCCGAUCCAUGCGGAAAGUGUUGGGCUGACCAUUGUUCCUGACCAUUCGUUCAGCGUUUGUACAAGCAAUUUACACAUGGAUCGAAUAGUUUUUUAAAAUGUAUAUACAUAAUAUGAUGUAAUGUGGUUGUAUUAAAUAAUCUC